UAUUCUCAGGGCGGGGCGAAAUUCCCCACCGGUGGUAGGUGCAGGCGUGAGCAACGCAGCACAAGCCCACGAGCGCCUGCUGUGUUGAUCAUGGCAGGGUCAGCAGAUCUGGUCAGAUGCCAGAGCCGACGGUUACAGUCCGGAUGAAAGAGGAU
rnacentral:ncRNA from 1 species